UACGUAGGUGGCAAGCGUUGUCCGGAAUUAUUGGGCGUAAAGGGAGCGCAGGUGGGAAUGUAAGUCAAUCUUAAAAGUGCGGGGCUCAACCCCGUGAUGGGAUAGAAACUACAUUUCUUGAGUGCAGGAGAGGAAAGUGGAAUUCCUAGUGUAGCGGUGAAAUGCGUAGAUAUUAGGAGGAACACCAGUGGCGAAGGCGACUUUCUGGACUGUUACUGACACUGAGGCUCGAAAGCUAGGGGAGC
rnacentral:rRNA from 2 species